GGGGCUAUAGCUCAGCUGGGAGAGCACCUGCCUUGCACGCAGGGGGUCAGCGGUUCGAUCCCGCUUAGCUCCA
rfam:Crenothrix polyspora isolate RSM_CP1 genome assembly, contig: CRENPOLYSF1_Contig_72